GUGCUCAGUUCAGCAGCACAUACACUAAAACUGGAACGAUACAGAGAAGAUUAGCAUGGCACCUGUGCAAGGAUGACAUGCAAAUUUAUGAAGUGUUUCCUAUUUAA